rnacentral:rRNA from 1 species
GGACGAACGCUGGCGGCGUGCUUAACACAUGCAAGUCGAACGGAAAGGCCCUGCUUUUGUGGGGUGCUCGAGUGGCGAACGGGUGAGUAACACGUGAGUAACCUGCCCUUGACUUUGGGAUAACUUCAGGAAACUGGGGCUAAUACCGGAUAGGAGCUCCUGCUGCAUGGUGGGGGUUGGAAAGUUUCGGCGGUUGGGGAUGGACUCGCGGCUUAUCAGCUUGUUGGUGGGGUAGUGGCUUACCAAAGCUUUGACGGGUAGCCGGCCUGAGAGGGUGACCGGCCACAUUGGGACUGAGAUACGGCCCAGACUCCUACGGGAGGCAGCAGUGGGGAAUAUUGCACAAUGGGCGGAAGCCUGAUGCAGCAACGCCGCAUGCGGGAUGACGGCCUUCGGGUUGUAAACCGCUUUCGCCUGUGACGAAGCGUGAGUGACGGUAAUGGGUAAAGAAGCACCGGCUAACUACGUG